UUUCCGUAGGUGAACCUGCGGAAGGAUCAUUACUGCGUGCGGGCCCCUCGGGGUCCAACCCCCCACGCGUGUUUACCGAACCUUGUUGCUUCGGCGGGCCCGCCCCACGGCCGCCGGCGGGCAUCUGCCCCCGGGCCCGCGCCCGCUGAAGGCCCCUGUGAACGCUGUCUGAAGUAUGCAGUCUGAGACAAUUAUUAAAUUAAUUAAAACUUUCAACAACGGAUCUCUUGGUUCCG
rnacentral:misc_RNA from 1 species